rnacentral:rRNA from 1 species
GACGUAGGGGCGAGCGUUCGUACCGGGAAUUACUCGGGACGGGUAAAGGGCGGCGUAGGCGGCCGUUCAAGUCAGGUGUAAAAUACCCCGGGCUCAACCCCGGGGAGUAGCACUUGGAACUGGGCGGCUAGAGGGCAGGAGAGGGGAGUGGAAUUCCCGGUGUAGCGGUGAAAUGCGUAGGAUAUCGGGAGGAAUACCAGUGGCGAAGGCGACUCUCUGGACUGACCCUGGGCGCUGAGGCGCGAAAGCGUGGGGAGCAAACAGGAUUAGAUACCCCGGUAGU